rnacentral:lncRNA from 1 species
AUAAAAAUGAUGAUUGACCACUACCUUGAAAUAUUUGGAAAUGAUAAUCUAUUUUCUAAACAUAUUGACGAAAGGUCUGAUGAUCUAAAGAUGUAUAUAGAUUUAAUCUUCUCUAAGGGCAAAUCUCCUAUUAUGAAAAAAGUCAUAGUUGGCCCCAAUGGGACAACCUGCAGUAAUGAUGAAAAAGUAAAUAUUUCAAAUGCUGCUCUGCAGGAAGAAUUUCCUACAGGUUCAGAGAAACAUGAACACACUGUAUCUACCAUUCCCUCAGUACUGUCUCCAAAUCGACUACGACCUAGGAAGAAAAGUUUGUUUGGCCAACCUCUUACAAGUAUUUUUGAAGACAAUAAGCUGCCUACUUCAAUACUAGAUAUGAUAUCUAUAAUUGCAGAAAAAGGACAGAGUUCUGAUUAUUUAUUCAGAA